UGAAUUUGAAAUUAAAAUAAAAUGGCAGAAUACUCCCAAAACCCUAGCCUCUCUUAUCUCUCACUCCCUACCUCCACAACCAUCAGAAAUGGCCGCCGCCGUUGCUCGGCCCCUGGUUUCGAUUCAAACCCUUAAAUUCGACAUGGCCACCGACUGUCCAGACCCAUUCUUCAACAAGCAAUUAACCCCGCUCCUGUCCAUCUAAAACCCCCAAUUAAUUCAUCUUCUUCUGGUAUGUAUACAAUGUCGAAUAUAUACACACACACACUCACACACUCACACACAUAGUGGCAUGGUUAUGUUUUUACGCAUGUUUUUACUUAUAUUUUUCUUACCCUCUUUUGGGGUCUGUAUUUUCUGCACAUGUGUGCGGUAUUGUGUGAGUAUGUGGAAGAUUUUAAUCUUGUUCGUAGUUGGAAGUAGUCGGUAUGCACAUAGGCACAUAUGCUGAUUGUUGAUAUUGCUGAAUGAGUUAUUAUGGUCAUAUUAUAUAAUAUGAAUGAUUUUCUCUAUUCCUCGUUUUGUCUGGUUCAUAUCUUUAGACUAAACCAAAUUGAAAUUAUAAAGGUACUUAACCAGGAUAGCUAAACCGUUAUAAACUAGAUUCCUUUCUUUAGGGAAUUUACCAUGUAUUUGAAAUUAUGUUUGUUUAAUAUAUUAAUAUGUCAGUACUUUGUUCCUGCAGAAAAUGAUAGGUAUAAAGGUAACCUCAUAUUAUAUGAUUCUCCUAUCUAGGAGCGAGCUUGAAUCUUGGUGUGCUAUAUAAAUUUCUGCAUUAAGAGUUUCACUAUUGUUUACUUAUGACAUGUUCUUAAUAUUGAUUUGUCUAAGGAUCCAGUUACUUUUUAUUUGAUAGUUCCUAUUACUGGUUCUUCCAGCUCUAAAAAUUUGUUCUGCCAGAAUGUUGUUAAAGAUGAUAGCUUAAUUUAAUACUUGUGGGUUGUAGUCCAUCUUUUGUUCACUUGUAACUUCUUUGACUGAACAUUCAAAAAUAAUAGCUCAAGUUUUGUUAUUACUGUGGCCUCGAGGAGUGAUUAAUUCUUACAAAGUACACAAGUAGUUUAUCCGUGAAGUGUUCUUUCAUUCUUGGAUUUCUUUGGGGGAACUGGCACUUGGUUAGGUUUAUAGUUUGUUUUUUCCAUAAGUUUUUUUGUAGAUAUGUUUAGGGGCUUUUCCUCUUUAGGCAUGGAUUUUUUUGGGAUGCAGUGCGUAGUUCUUUUUUUCUUUUUUAUUUUAUAAAUUCUGCCCCCUUGAUGGUGUGACUGAAAAGCACUUCUAAAAAAAUAAAGUACACUAAUAUCACUAGUAAUAUGUCAUCAUUGGUGGUACUACAGUUAGAAAAAUGCCUUGGUUUAUGUCCUAUAUAGCAGUUUAGUUUAAGGUCAUUUUGGUAUGGUGUGAUAGGGAUAAACAUAGAUGAUAUUGAUUUAGUCUCAAGGCUGUUCAAACAGUGACACAGAGUCAGUGUGGUGUAUUUUUGCAGCUAAAUUUUCUAGUUUAUCCUAGAAACUUAUUUUUUAUCACAAUGGAGCUGAGCACGGAAUAUUAUGAUGUCCAGGUGGUCGAACGAGAAGUAGUGUCAUACUUCUUUGUGAUUGUGGUUAUUAUGUUCAGAAGUAGUUCUCCUCAAAUGUUACCUUGAAACUAAGGGGGAAUAUAUUGAAAUGCCAUAGGACGUGUCUAAUAUGCUGCAGUAACUUUGUCCAUGCAUCUUAGCUACCAAGGGGAUUAUUUCUUUUAUCAUACCUUGUUAUGAUUUGUGGAAAAUAGUUUGCCUAGCAUAAUGUGACCUCGGUUGCCUCUGUCAAUUUUCCAUCUGCAAAUUUAACUUUGUUAUUUUUGCUCUGUCAUAGUUUGCUUAGCAUAAUUGUACUUCUUGUCGCAUGUAGUAUGACAUGAAAAGCUUGGGGACAUCUCUGUUGUAGUGAAAGAAUUUGUUGAUUAUGUUGACAGUCACUGUGGGACCCCUUAUCCUAUGGAUUGUGAAAUAUGGCUAAGAAGGUUAAGGCGACAUAUAAAUGAAGAAGACCAUGGGAAGGAAAUUGACACAUCAAGUUAGAUUUUCUUUCACUAGCUACCUGAGUAGAACUGAAAUACUUCACACCUUAAUCAUAAUCUCACACAACGGGGCAGUUUUUUUUUUGCAUUUUGAGGAAGUUUAUGGAAGUUGGAGCUUCAAAUUGUAUUCCUGGUCAUAGGUUAUUUUGUGGCUGCGAACUCACAUUCAGGUUUUCAUAGAAUGUCUGAGAUCACCAUUUGGUGCUACUUUGUAUACAGUUCAGCAAGUACCCAAGUUGGUACAAGUAUAAUUGCACAGUUGAGGAGAUUUUGUAUAAGUUGUCAUUAUUUCUGCAAUGUAUGAUUUACUCAGUUCCACCUUGAAAUCGCAGAUUAUGCCUCCUGAUUUAUUGUGGUCUAAUUUUGUCUUGUAGGAUGAGAUUGGAAAGUUGGUGACAGCUAUGGGAGGCGUGCUGCAUACUAAAGCAUCAUUGGAUGUUAACUUUGUUAUUGUGAAGAGUGUUUUAGCUGCCAAAUACAAGGUUUUUGAUUUCAUUCAUUAUUUUAUUAAAGCGACUGCCGACUAGGCUCUCCCUAUCUCCUCCCCACUGCCCUCACCCAAUUCGUGGUUUUUGGUUAUUUUGGAAUAUGUAUUUUUUUAAUAAUUAAAAUUAUAAAAGGAAUAUUUUCUCAAAUUCGCAGCGUUGACACUAUUUCUAUGCUAUACCCUAAUCUGUUUCUAUGAACUGUAUUCCAUGCUAACCAAUUUUAGUCUGGUGUAGUAGAUUUUAGGACUACAAAAGAUAAUCAAGCAGCUAGGAUUUCUUUGACUGCCACGGCCACAGUCCACACAAACCUCUCUCAAGUAUACAUAGGGUGGUUGUUCAGGUUUUUGAAGUUCUCCGUUGUGGUCUAUAGAACCUUAGAUUGAUUUUUAGUCCUCGACAGAAAUGAUAGGUGUAACACUAAUAAUAUGGCCUAUAGGUGCACAGGCCUUGUACAAGCUUCGUUCUGAACGUAUAUGUGAUGUUCAUGCAAACUAGUGAGACUCGCACUAACUAAUAAUAUGGCCUUUUGCUUGGUUUGGUUGUUUCUUCCUAACUUGUUCAUGCUAGAAAGAUUAUUCUCAUAUUGUACCUUCAUAAAUGGUAGAAUUGUGUUCUUGAAUCAGUGUUUAAACUGCUAUAUGCUAGAAGACAAGUUGAGUACUUUUAUUUCUUUAGGUAUCGUGCCCGAAGAAAAGUUUAGUAUUCUAUUCUAGCCACACUCCGGGCCUAUAUGACGACCCUUCAUUUUUUUUGGAGUGAUUCAAGUCAUUCAAUCAGGUAAUGCCACUACUUAUGAUUGUCAGUACAUAUGAUUGUCAGUACAUUUACUAAUUAGUGUGAUGAACUGCUUAUGUUGUAAAUUGUCUUUGGGUAUAUAUUUGUUUUUAACUGUAUGCUCUAUAAGGGUUACCGGACAUUGAUUUUUAACUCGUACUAGCUCUAAAACUAAAACUUCUCUACUUCAAUUAUUUUGUUCAAAUGAUACUAAUAUUUGUGUACCAUUUUUUGGCGGCAGUUUACUACUAUAACGGCUUGAUCCUCGAUAAGGGUAAUGAACCAUUCUGCCACAUUACUUUUGCAUGUUGCUUCCUUGCUGCAGAAGAACUUCUGGCUGAGAGCAAGAAGGCCUGUUUAAGCUUUUGCCUUGCAAUUUGGUUGGGGUUUUUUGUACAUUAGAAGUAUUAUAUUUUAUAGAUAGUUUAAUUAGGCAGUAGUUUAAUUUUAUGGAUAGUUUGGUAUAUUUUGUGGAUGUAGUCAAAUUCACAAUUCAAUAUAGUGGUAAUUAUAUUGAAAAGUGAAUUUGAGGUGUAUGGAUAGUUUAGUAUUAUUGGGAUGUAAACGUAUUGUAUGGUAUUAAUAUUCUUUGUAAUCGGUAUAUUUUGAAUUUGAGAUGUAUGGAUAGUAAUAUUAUUUGUAAUCGGUAUAUUUUGAAUGUUUGAUAUAUUUUGACUUUAAAUAGAUGACACCUUCUAAAUGUUGUAUACAUGUGUCUAAACGUUAUUUGAUGUAUCAAAUUAUAACAUUUUAAGUUAGAAAACGUUGUGGAAUCAUACCAUCUACAACGUUUUCAAGUAUCC
rnacentral:lncRNA from 1 species